rnacentral:lncRNA from 1 species
UGAGGCCUUAUUUCCAGGACUCUGGAGAAAUCGAUGGAAAUAGAUGGUGAUGUACCAGCGGAUUCCAGGUUCUGACCCGUGGAAUGCUGAAUGUAUGUCUACAGAACAAGUGGACGAAAAUUAUAAAUGAAAUUAUAUUAAAUUGGGAGGGUGUCCGUAUGGGGAUUACAGGAUAACAGACUUGGGACAGUUCUGGGAUUGGAAGAGAGGGUAUCCUUAUAGCAUAGGGGAUCCCACAAAGGUGGAUAGGUUUUCCAUGAUAUGGGAAAACCUGGGAGCACUGUUGAACUUUGUAAAGGUGAUGAAAUCUUGCUAACCAUCAAAACGAUUAAGCUCUCUGAUGCAGGCACUUACACCCUCGGACUACAAAGGACCGGGACAGACACGAUGGGUGUGUUUUCUAUUAAGGUGCUGCCAAAACCAGAGGUCCCAGAUGAACCAGGGCCAGACACACUCCUCUACCACCCCUGGACCGAACCUGCCACCACUGUGUUAAAAAUCCCAUUCAGGUAAUUAAUGUUAGACUAUUCAGCUAUUGAUCAAUUAGGCAGUGAGACUGGUGUUAUUGGUAGGGACAAUUUGUGGCUUUCUUAUAUGAGGUACAGUUAAGACCCUGAAAAGAAAGGACUACAUGAGUUACAUGAAACAUUGGUCAUGAUAGACCUGUUCUGGCUACACACCCAUUUGCUAUAGGAGAAGGAGAGGGGUGGUUGUGUAUUCUGAGAGGUUUAUACCUGGUUGAGGCCAAUUCAACUCUCUGUUCCUCUUUGAGCCUUGUGUUUCCUACAGUACCUCCUCAUCGGGCCCCUUGGGGUGUUGAGGCAUAUGGGGGCAAUUACAGUUGCAUCACGGGUACAGGUAAUGGCAUUGAUUAUGGGAGAUUGCCUGAAGCUGAUUGCAGUAGUAACAACCAUUAAUUCCACUUGGCCAGUUACAGGCCUAAACCAAACUAGUGGUCUGGCUGAUGUGUGGUGGAUCUGUGGACCCAAAAGAGUGCUGAGACCCAUUCUUAGAGGAGACUGGCAAGGUUUCGAGUCCCUGGGUGGCAUGAAGCCCAACUGGUGCAGGAUAGGAGUAGCUGAGAGGACCAGAUGGUUUAUAAUAAUGCUUUGCUUUGUUUUACUCUGUUUUCCAUGACCAAAGUUUUAUCCUGUAUCUUACAUGACAAUAAACAAUAAAGUGUUAUCCUGUUUUUGCUAAGUGACACCCUUGUGGGUGUCAAAAGGGGGACUUAAAUUUCACACCAUUUUUUUUGUUCUGUUUUUGAAUGAGCUGUUCUCUUUUGACAUGAAGGUAUUUUAAACUCUGUGACUGUUAUGAUUCAUUGCUGAAUUUUUGUUCACACCCUGGGGGGUGUGAAAAAGAGGGAUUAUUGGUUCCUGUGUUUUACAUUAUAGCCAUUACCAUAUAUAUGAUUGAAUAUUAUCUGCUGUUGGCUUGUGUUGAUGUAUGCAAGUGUUAUGCAACAUAGCUGACUUGAAACAUUGUUAAAAGUGUCAGGGCCAGGGGACUUUCUCAUGCUGAAAAUAAAAUAUAUAUACAGAAGGGAGGGCACAUUCAGAGCGUGGGGUUGCGAGAACAAGCUGUCUUUUGUUAGAUAACAGGAGCCAGGUGCGUGAUAACGGUAUGGAGCAUGAGAGCCUGGCUGCAACUUCUCUUAUGACAUUGCAGUAGAUAUGCUACUGGCGGAGAAAGGUGGAGCUUGUACUAUGUUUGGUGAACAGUGUUGCACUUUCAUCCCUAAUAACACAGCCUCCGAUGGUAGCUUGACCAUGGCCCUAGAAGGUUUGAGGACGCUUAAUGGUAAAAUGAAAUCUCAUUCUGGGAUGGAUACCUCGAUGUGGGACUCCUGGAUGAGUGCGUUUGGUAAAUAUAAAACCCUGGUGUCCUCCAUUUUGGUAUCCAUUCGGUGUUCGCUGCCAUUUUAGUUCUCUGGAUGCUGUUGCAUUCCAUGCAUCCGUUCCCUUGCCACUAGGGUUAUCUCUAGAGCCAUUGACCCUUCCUCCCCCUCCCAGAUGUUUCCUCUGCUGGAUAAAGACCUACUUGAAUUCAAGGAUGAGGAGGAGAGUGCCUAUUUAGGUUUACAUUAUAUCUGCUGUUGCCUUAUGGGGAUGUAUGUAUGUGUUAUGCAAGUGGAUCAUUCCGCCUGACUUGCCUAGUUUAAGUCACAUCUCUUUGGAGAUGUGAAGAGAGGGAAUCACAACUUUUUCCUGCGGGAAAAAAGUUGGCUUAUGUAGACAAGCAUUUACUUUUAUUUUGAGCUGUUGUUCUCCGCUCUGUAAAAUGAGGGUUGUAAGUUCCUAGGUGGCUGGUAGCCAACUUAGUACAUAGUGGGAUUGAAUGGAGAACAUGAUGUAAUACAUAUAUAUCUAUUUCUGUUUAAAACCGUGCCUUAUUUCAUAGUCCCCUUGGGAGAAGUUUCUCUUUGUGUCUGGAUCCAGUUAGGUUGUGUCACGUCUCUUGUGAGACGUGAAGAGAGGGUUUUGUAGAGAAAUGCUAUUUCUUAUGUAGGUGACCAAACUAUUGUUAAGGGGGGGCUACAACUCAGAGUUGAGCCUGUGGGGUCCCCUACAGGAUAGCUCCCGCAUUACACUAAUGGCCAAAACCAGCGCACACACACAUGAUCUCCGUUGUAGCUGAACGUUGAAUGCCCGAAGAGGAUUCUACGAUGACGGACAGACAACUGAGCCAAUGGCGGAAGACUACAGACUACACCCCAGCUGAACCAAUCCAAAGAUCCGAUCUUCCAGAAUCAACCUACUUUCUGUUCUAUAUAUAAGUGGUGUACUGAUUGUAUCGGCCUCUUCUUCGUCUGCGUUUCCGUACGAACCAGCGGGAGAGCCGUAAUUACGCUGUUCUAGAUAUCUUCACUCUGAAUAAACUGUAGCUUGUCAUACAAUUUACCACCUUGUCUGAAUCAAUCCUUG